AGACAGCAGCCGCCGCGGUAACACGUAGGGUGCAAGCGUUAAUCGGAAUUACUGGGCGUAAAGCGUGCGCAGGCGGUUAUAUAAGACAGAUGUGAAAUCCCCGGGCUCAACCUGGGAACUGCAUUUGUGACUGUAUAGCUAGAGUACGGCAGAGGGGGAUGGAAUUCCGCGUGUAGCAGUGAAAUGCGUAGAUAUGCGGAGGAACACCGAUGGCGAAGGCAAUCCCCUGGGCCUGUACUGACGCUCAUGCACGAAAGCGUGGGGAGCAAACAGGAUUAGAUACCCCAGUAGUCCCUGUCUCUUAUAC
rnacentral:rRNA from 1 species